rnacentral:rRNA from 1 species
AUUGAACGCUGGCGGCAGGCUUAACACAUGCAAGUCGAACGCGUGGCGGACGGGAGUAUAGUGCUUGGGAAUCUGGCAUAUGGAGGGGUAUAUCUACGGGAAACUAGCGCUUAACCCACGAUAUCUAAGAUACCCACAAGUGGGAUUAGGUAGUGGGUGAGGUAAAGGCUCACCAAGCCGACGAUCUCUAGCUGGUCUGAGAGGAUGACCAGCCACACUGGGACUGAGACACGGCCCAGACUCCUACGGGAGGCAGCAGUGGGGAAUAUUGCGCAAUGGGGGCAACCUGACGCAGCCAUGCCGCGUGAAUGAAGAAGGCCUUCGGGUUGUAAAGUUCUUUCGGUAGCGAGGCGUUAACUACAGAAGAAGCACCGGCUAACUCCGUGCCAGCAGCCGCGGUAAUUC